rnacentral:rRNA from 1 species
GAUGAACGCUAGCGGCAGGCUUAAUACAUGCAAGUCGAGGGGCAGCACGAAUAGCAAUAUUUGGUGGCGACCGGCGCACGGGUGCGUAACACGUACACAACCUACCUAUAACAGGGGGAUAGCCUUUCGAAAGAGAGAUUAAUACCCCGUAAUAAAUUGAGUGGCAUCACUUGAUUUUGAAAGCUACGGCGGUUAUAGAUGGGUAUGCGUCUGAUUAGCUAGUUGGUGAGGUAACGGCUCACCAAGGCGACGAUCAGUAGGGGAUCUGAGAGGACUAACCCCCACACUGGUACUGAGACACGGACCAGACUCCUACGGGAGGCAGCAGUAAGGAAUAUUGGUCAAUGGAGGCAACUCUGAACCAGCCAUGCCGCGUGCAGGAUGACGGCCCUAUGGGUUGUAAACUGCUUUUGUACCAGAGAAAACCUACUCACGUGUGAGUAGCUGAUAGUAUGGUAAGAAUAAGCAUCGGCUAACUUCGUGCCAG